rnacentral:rRNA from 1 species
CAAUAGCGUAUAUUAAAGUUGUUGCAGUUAAAAAGCUCGUAGUUGGAUUUCUGGUAGGAGCGACCGUGCCGAACUUGAUUGUUCGAGUAUUGUGUUGUCUUCAGCCAUCCUCGUGGAGAACUUUUCUAACAUUAACUUGUUGGGAUUGGGACCCGCGUCGUUUACUGUGAAAAAAUUAGAGUGUUUAAAGCAGGCAUUAGCUUGAAUACAUUAGCAUGGAAUAGUAAGAUAGGACUUUGGUACUAUUUUGUUGGUUUGCAUACCAAAUUAAUGAUCAACAGGAACAGUUUGAGGAUAUUCGUAUGAACAUGUCAGAGGUGAAAUUCUUGGAUUUUGAUCAGACGAACUACUGCGAAAGCAUUUAUCAAGGAUGUUUUCAUUAA